AAACAAACCUGAUUGGAGUGAACAUCCCGUUAAUCUGCAGCAGAUUCAGCACAGAAAUGCCAUCGGGAUAAAACGAAAAGCAGGACUAUCG
rnacentral:sRNA from 1 species